rnacentral:miRNA from 14 species
CAUAACCAGGGUCUCUGAAGCUAGACAUUCCGAAGAAUUUUUAUUUCGGUGUCUAGGUCUAGAGUCCCAAGGAAGU